rnacentral:rRNA from 1 species
AAGGGAAACAGCCCAGACCAUCAGCUAAGGUCCCAAAGUGUAAGUUAAGUGGAAAAGGAUGUGGGAUUUCUAAGACAACUAGGAUGUUGGCUUAGAAGCAGCCACUCAUUUAAAGAGUGCGUAAUAGCUCACUAGUCAAGAGAUCCUGCGCCGAAGAUGUCCGGGGCUCAAACUUACCACCGAAGCUAUGGGUGUACACUAUGUGUACGCGGUAGAGGAGCUUUCUGUAUGGGUUGAAGUCGUACCGUAAGGAGCGGUGGACUGUACAGAAGUGAGAAUGCUGGCAUAAGUAGCGAGAAAUAAGUGAGAAUCUUAUUGGCCGAAAACCUAAGGUUUCCUGAGGAAGGUUCGUCCGCUCAGGGUUAGUCGGGACCUAAGCCGAGGCCGAAAGGCGUAGGUGAUGGACAAUCGGUUGAUAUUCCGAUACCACCUAUUUACGUUUGAGAAAUGGGGUGACGCAGUAGGAUAAGAUGUGCGCACUAUUGGAUGUGCGUCUAAGCACUUAGGCAUGCUUGAUAGGCAAAUCCGUCGAGCUAAGCUGAGGUGUGAUGGGGAGCCAUUUAUGGCGAAGUAUCUGAUUCCACACUGCCAAGAAAAGCCUCUAUCGAGUGAAUAGGUGCCCGUACCGCAAACCGACACAGGUAGGUGAGGAGAGAAUCCUAAGGCCAUCGGAAGAAUUGCUGUUAAGGAACUCGGCAAAUUGACCCCGUAACUUCGGGAGAAGGGGUGCCUACGAAAGUAGGCCGCAGAGAAUAGGCCCAAGCAACUGUUUAGCAAAAACACAGGUCUCUGCUAAAGCGAAAGCUGAUGUAUAGGGGCUGACGCCUGCCCGGUGCUGGAAGGUUAAGGGGAACACUUAGCGUAAGCGAAGGUGUGAACUUAAGCCCCAGUAAACGGCGGCCGUAACUAUAACGGUCCUAAGGUAGCGAAAUUCCUUGUCGGGUAAGUUCCGACCCGCACGAAUGGCGUAAUGAUUUGGGCACUGUCUCAACAGCAAAUCCGGCGAAAUUGUAGUGCAAGUGAAGAUGCUUGCUACCCGCGAUUGGACGGAAAGACCCCGUAGAGCUUUACUGUAGCUUAGCAUUGAAUCUCGGUAUUGUCUGUACAGGAUAGGUGGGAGACUUGGAAGCUUGGGCGUCAGCCUGAGUGGAGUCAUCCUUGGGAUACCACCCUGACAGUACUGGGGUUCUAACCGGCGGCCAUGAAUCUGGUCACGGGACAUUGUUAGGUGGGCAGUUUGACUGGGGCGGUCGCCUCCUAAAAAGUAACGGAGGCGCCCAAAAGUUCCCUCAGCGCGGUCGGAAAUCGCGCGAAGAGUGCAAAGGCAGAAGGGAGCUUGACUGCGACACAUACAGGUGGAGCAGGGACGAAAGUCGGGCUUAGUGAUCCGGUGGUACCUCGUGGGAGGGCCAUCGCUCAACGGAUAAAAGCUACCUCGGGGAUAACAGGCUGAUCUCCCCCAAGAGUCCACAUCGACGGGGAGGUUUGGCACCUCGAUGUCGGCUCGUCGCAUCCUGGGGCUGAAGUAGGUCCCAAGGGUUGGGCUGUUCGCCCAUUAAAGCGGCACGCGAGCUGGGUUCAGAACGUCGUGAGACAGUUCGGUCCCUAUCCGUCGCGGGCGUAGGAAAUUUGAGAGGAGCUGUCCUUAGUACGAGAGGACCGGGAUGGACCAACCUCUGGUGCACCAGUUGUCACGCCAGUG